AAAAGAGUUUGAAAAAUGCAAUGGCAUAAGGCCAAAGUUUCUAAUAUGCAACCAAGUCAUAGUUUAUAAAUCACGAGCAAAGAAGAUUUUGAAAGGGGGGAGAGAUUUGAAAUUUAAGAAGUGGGAGGAGAUGAAGAGGCUAAUCCUAAGCAAAAAUUAAAAGUUAAGGGUUAAAAAGAUCUUACCAAUGGGAUGCAAUCAAAUAGAGAAGAAUGUGAAGGUGAGAAAAAC
rnacentral:lncRNA from 1 species